rnacentral:rRNA from 1 species
AAUGAACGCUGGCGGUAUGCCUAACACAUGCAAGUUGGACGAACUUAGAAUUUUUAUAGAAUUUUAAGUUAAGUAGCGGACGGGUGAGUAAAAUGUAAGAGACCUACCUUUAGGAGGGGGAUAACGACUGGAAACGGUGGCUAAAACCCCAUAAGCUGCGGAGUAAAAAGUUGACACUGCCUAAAGAUGGGCUUGCAUCUGAUUAGCUUGUUGGUGGGUUAAUU